rnacentral:lncRNA from 1 species
AUACUAUCACUGGGGUAAAUAAUUCCAUCAUGGCAGAUUCCACACUACUAACUUGAUAUCACUGCAUGUAGUCUUGGGAAAGAGAUAUGCACAGUUGACUUUUACAAGUUGGUAUGAGCUUGUGCAGACACACUAAUAAAACUUUUUCUUCCCACUACACAAGACAAUUGAGAGGGACAAAAAUUGUAGAGAGCAGAGUAUUCCAACACCCUGUCAUGCCCUAGGUGCAUUAAAUGAAGCACACAAGUAAAAUGACACAAAUAGAUUGGAAAAUAUUCUCCUUUGCAGUCUUAAAACAUUAACAAUGUUCAUUCAACCCUAAGAAUAAAAUAGUAUUUGGUUCUUUGUCUAUUAACCUGCUUUCAGUUUUGAACUCUAUCCUAUAAAUGGCCAUCAGAGAUAUAUUUCUAAAAUGCUAAUGUGGGGGAGAAAAAAAUAACUUUCCCUCUACCCUUCUGAGUUCUUGGCUGAAACCUACCACUCCUCAUCCCCAUAAUAAGAGACAGGUUAACAGUAUUGUGGUCCAUGCAUGGGUUGGAAAAAGAAUGUCCAGACUCAUAGCAAGGUGAAGAGAAAGAAGAGUUUAUUGGGAUGAGAAAUGCUGUUAGCACAGCUGGACAACCUCCAGAAAAUCAGGUAUUGCUAACCCUGAGCACAUGGUUUUGUCUGUUUUUAUAUCCUAGAGAGAGGAGAGGUCUUGCAGUACACUAGCCUAUCUGCUGACUGGUUGGGAAAAGAUGUGUCUUACAAUAGACUCACUGGUAGAUUGGGGGUGUACUAUUCCCCUAUGGGGGUGGGAUGAGGAGUGGGCCACAUGUCUUUGCUAGUAGGGGUUAGGAAGAAGCAGGCCAGGUUGCUCAAGCAGGAGAGGGAUUGUUACAGUGAGGCAGGAAGGGUGAUAAGGAUCUGGUAAUUCUUGUCUCAGCCAUAGACUUUUUGAGUUUUAUUUCUUAUGUGAGCCCUUGAGGUCUCGCAAACAGGAGAAAAACAAAAGUUUAUUAAGACAUAUGUACCUCCUACAUAUAUGGGAAAUACACAGGAUAACUGAGUAACCAAUUCAAAUUGCCCAAGCCACCAGCUUAAAUGCUAUCUCCAGCUAAAGACAAAAAAGUUUUGGAGAUUGAGGUGAGGACCCAGUUACGGGAAAUCAUUUGAGCCUUUCUUAGGCCUGCUCUUGAUUAAUACUAAUGCUUAUACCAAAGAGGCAUAUUCUGGAAUGACAAAUUCUGUUCUCCUUAACUAAUAUAAUCUGUUCUGCUGUUCUACCAGCUCUUUAAAUUUGUCUGAUGCAUCUAUUUCAUGUUUGUUUUAUGUUCUUUACCUGCUUAUAUUUUAAAAUUAGAAAUGUAUAAAAUAAUUGUAAAAACUCUGUAGGUCUAUGACAGAUGCAUACUGUAAAUAAUUCUUUCCUUCAAAUCUAUCUUAGGUAUGGUUAUGUGUGUGCGUGUGUCUGUGUAUAUGUAUAAAUGUUUUUGAAGGUUACAUCAUACCAUACACUUUUGUAUUCAUUUUCCUUAAAAAGAAAUAAUCAGCAUUUUAUGUAUGAUAAAAUUUCUGGUAAACAUAUCAAUGCAACUAGAGAUUCUCAUACUAAGUCAGAAAGAGAAAAAAAAAAUACCAUAUGAUAUGAGUUAUAUGUGGACUGUAAAAUACGACGUAAAGGAACCUAUCUACAAAACAGAAAUGGACUCACAGACAUAGAAAAUAAACUUGUGGUUGCCAAGGGAGAAGGGGAAGGGAGUGGGAAGAACUGUGUGUUUGGGGUUAGUAGAUACAAACUAUUACAUCCAGAAUGGAUAAGCAAGGAGGUCCUAUUGUAUAGAAUAGGGAACUCUAUCCAGUCUCUUGAGAUAGAACAUGAUGGAAGAUAAUAUAAGAAAGGGAAUGUGUAUAUGUGUAUGACUGGGUCACUUUGCUGUACUGCAGAAAUUGCCACAACAUUGUAAAUCAACUAUACUCUAAUAAAAAAUAGAAUUAAAAAAACUUAGUUAUUUACUAUUACAAAUAAUGCUCCGAAAACACAUUAUUUUUUUACAUGUGUUUCUGAUUUCUACCCAACCCCCCUUGGAAUAGCAUCCCCCAAAUGAAAGGAAUGUUGUAAAAGAUAGGAGUUGACGGUUUGAUGGUACAUAAUUCACAAGGCUUACAAGAAAGGUAAGAGAAAAGUAAACCCCCUAAGAUACCCUUCAGAUUUUUCUCAGAUUGAUAAAAUUUUAGAUAGGCUUCUUCCUGACUCUUGGCCCUUCACUUCCUUCUAUCAUUUACUUUAGAAAACUUGUUCAUUUUUUGUCUUCCCUUUGAGAUGUAAAUCUCUUUAAAAACCUCUUGCUAGUUUUACUAUCCAGGACUGUCUGAAAGACCUGAGAGUCCUUCCUGUGGAAAUUAAUCCUCCAGGAAGAUAGGUCCUUAACAGGGAGGUAAUUGAAGCUACUUUGCCUUUGGGUGAAGCCAGUCAGCGAACACAGAUGACCCAAGAUCCUCCCUACCCCAGCUCUGAAAACUCUCCAGCCCUCUGUUUCUGGAGUUGAGAUUCAACUCUGGCCUCUUCCUUCUAUUUUAAUAGCUUCAACUACCAUCUUCUCUGGCCAGUGUAAUAUUAAAUUUGACCCCUGUUAAUAGACUGAAUUGUGCCUUUAACUCCCCAAAUUCAUAUGUUGAAGUCUUAGCUCCAAGUACCUCAAGAUGAUUAUAUUUGGAGAUUCGCCCUUUAAAGAGCUAAGUAGGUAAAGUGAGGUCAAAUGGGUUGGCCCUAAUCCUAUAUGACUGGUGUCCUUACAAGAACAGAAGAUUAGGACACAGACAUACAGAGGGAAGACUAUUUGAAAAUACAGGGAAAAGAUAGCCACUAUUAGCCAAGGAGAGAGGCCUUAGGAGAAACCAACCCUGUAAAAGCCUUGACUUUCGAUGACUUCUCUCUAGAAUUGUGAGAAGAUAAGUUUCUGUAGUUUAAGCCAUUUAGGCUGUGACACUUGGUUUUGGUAGCUGUAGUAAACUAAUAUAACAACUCUGCACUAAUGGAAUAUGAAAGGGCCUGUCUUGUUGCAACUUAGUAUUUAAUACUAAACAUUUUAAAGUAUUUGAUGAUUUAGUAAAUUCAGAACUGUUUUUUACUUGCUUUGUGUUUACAUUAAUUAGUAGUAAGAUUUUAUGUUUUCUGUUUGUCCAUUGUAUUUAUCCUUUUUAAACUAGUCAUGGCCUGACCCAUUAUUGUGUGUGUGUGAUCUUAAUGUUGAUAAAAAUCUAUUUGAAUGUCCUUUCAUAUUUAAGUAUUAAGUAAUUUUUCAGUUUGUCAUUUUUUGCUAUACUUUCAAGAGGAAAUUUUCAUAAUUUAUUACUUUGUUGAUGACAAAUGUCUUUUAUUUUUUUAUUUUUUAUUUUUUAUUUUUUGCUUUUUAGGGCCGCACCCAUGUUAUGGAAGUUCCCAGACGAGGGGUUGAAUCAGGAAUUGGAGCUGUAGCUACCAGCCUGCACCACAGAUCACAGCAACCCCAGAUCCUUAACUAACUGAGUGGGGCCGGGGAUUGAACCCGCAUCCUCAUGGAUAUUAAUAGGAUUCGUUUCCACUGAGCCACAAUGAGAACUCCCCACACAUGUCUUUUUAUCCAAGGAACAGAUACAUAACUUUUUUUGGGAUACAUUUUCCUAGGAUUCUUCUAGUAUUUCUAUGAUUAAAAAAAAUGGUUAAACGCUUUAAACCAUCUGGAUUUUAUUCUGGAAUACUUUAGGGCUUGAAUACUUAAAUAGAUUCUUUUUCUAACAACUCUUAGCAUUUACUAAACAGUAUUUUUAUUGACUUGGAUUAUUUAUCACAUGUUAAAUGUUACAUUAUUAAGAAACAUUUCUAAGUUAUAUCUUCUAUUUAUGUUUAUAUGUAUGCAUGCUACUAUAAUAUUAUGAAACUUUUUGUGAUAAUAUAUAUCCUUUCUCAAUACUUCUUAUAAAAAUUUCUUGGCUAGUCAAAUUUCUAUAAUUAUUUUUCUAGUCGAAAUUCUAUAAUUUCAUUACUUCUAUUUUAAACUUACAGUCCCAUUAGAAUGUUAUUUUGGGGAGAAUUAACGUUGUUACAAAUAAUUUAUUCCCAUUCAGUAACAGGAUAUUUUUGUAUCUGUUUGUUUAGAUAUUUUACAUGCAUUUCUAUAGAGACGAACAGUUGGUCUAUUUAAAAGCAUAUGCCAAGCUAGCUAUUACUUCCUUUUCUUUCUUUACUGUUGUUAAUGGUUUGGUUAAUGGUUCCCCUUGUUCAUUGAAUAAUGUGUUCCUUUGAUACCUGAGAAAAUCUUUUAGCAAACAUUAAUGGUAUAAAUAUUUUAGAGUUUGUUUUCUUUUAUUUUCAAGUUAAUGUUGUUGAAAUGUGCUCCAUUUCUAAAAAUUAUAGCUGUUACUUUGCUUCAUCAUUUUGCAUUUUAGAACUUGCAGAAUGAAGUUAUUACUGAUACUAUGAGAUGUACUGUUCCCACCUUUAACAAGAAAUUUCUAGUAUUUUAUUACAUGUAAGAUUGAUUUGAACAGGAGUAACCAUUGUGGUUCAACAGAAGCGAAUCUGACUGGUAUCCAUGAGUAUGCGAGUUUGAUCCUUGGACUUGCUCAGUGGUGAGCAGUCUGGCAUUGCCUUGAGCUGUGGUGUGGCUCACAGACACGGCUUAGAUCCUGUGUUGCCAUGGCUGUGGCAUAGGCCAGCAGCUGCAG